GGGGUCGCUGUUAUGCAGAACCACGCUGUCCCGGUAGAGGUUAUGUUUGCGCUGCACUGCCGCCUCCUUCACAGCUGCAAGACCCCAAGAGAGACAGCACUCAGCAUGGACCGUCAUAGCAAACCUGACAUCCUCCCGGGCCCUUUCUCACCCCCCCAGUGUGAUCUAUGCCUGGACCCUGGUCUCCCUGCCACAAAACUAUAACUCAAGCCUGGAAACCAAGCCAGCAGCCACUACGUCCCUCACUGAUCACUCUCAGCAAAGCCAGGAACCAGAGAGGAAACUUAAGGCACAGAGAAGCCAGUGCCUGGCUGCGGCCUCCUCCUGGAGUCUCGGCCUCUCUGUGCACCUUUAGCUGGGGCCGCCUAUGUCUCUCCCGGGCUGCCCCUGCCCCCUGCUCACCCUGCAGGAUGUCCUUCAUGACCGUCUGCAGCACCACCUCCUCGUAUGUGUUCUCCACCAGGAUGAACCUGGCAAAGUCUUCAAAGAUCAGCUCCUGGAAGCGUGGCAGCUCCUGCCGGGGAAGCGGGUAGAGAAGGGUCAGAGGCUGUACAGAUGGCCGCUCCCUGAGGGGCUACGGCAAGGCGGGGACUCACCGACUUGCAGGUGGGGGCCAGCUUUUUGAGCAGGAAGGGAAUGGUGAUCUGCAGCAGCGCCUCUCGGAAGAAUCUCUUGCGCACAG
rnacentral:lncRNA from 1 species